UAAAAACCCCGACUUCGGAAGGGGUGUAUUUAUUAGAUACAAAACCAAUGCCCUUCGGGGUUCUUUGGUGAUUCAUGAUAACUAUACGAAUCGCACGGCCUUGCGCCGGCGAUGGUUCAUUCAAAUUUCUUCCCUAUCAACUUUCGAUGUUUGGGUAUUGGCCAAACAUGGUUGCAACGGGUAACGGAGGGUUAGGGCUCGACCCCGGAGAAGGAGCCUGAGAAACGGCUACUACAUCCAAGGAAGGCAGCAGGCGCGCAAAUUACCCAAUCCCGACUCGGGGAGGUAGUGACAAUAAAUACUGAUACAGGGCCCUUUCGGGCCUUGUAAUUGGAAUGAGUACAAUUUAAAUCCCUUAACGAGGAACAAUUGGAGGGCAAGUCUGGUGCCAGCAGCCGCGGUAAUUCCAGCUCCAAUAGCGUAUAUUAAAGUUGUUGUGGUUAAAAAGCUCGUAGUUGAACCUUGGGCCUGGCUGGCCGGUCCGCCUCACCGCGUGCACUGGUCCGGCCGGGCCUUUCCCUCUGUGGAACCCCAUACCCUUCACUGGGCGUGGCGGGGAAACAGGACAUUUACUUU
rnacentral:rRNA from 1 species